UUCAUAAAAUUAUAAAAUCGUGCAAUCAAACCUGAAGUCCAAGUGUAAUUCGUGGGCCAGAAUUAAGAUCUGACUAUCGCUUUGGUUGAGUGGCAAUUGUGUGUGUUAUUUGAUUUUUUUUUGGUACUUUCGGUUUGUGUUGCUUUAAUUACUUAAUAACUGUCGAACGAUGACAAUUUAUGGUCUAUUAGUGCAAAUCAUAAUCAUUUGCAAUUAAAUUUUGCAUUUGUGCGAGGAGCGAGCAAUUGCCAAAAUCCAAAGACUUAGCUUUGAGGUGUUUGGUUUCCUGGGCUUCGUUUCGAUUGCCAUGUGGCCGCCACGUCCCAUCGUGCAGCAGGAGUGCGAGGAGUCUGAGGACGAUAUUGUCACCAAGAUACCUUCAAUAGUUGGAUUCUUGAACUUGGACUAAUUAGGGGCGCCCAACUUUAAAUGGCACGCUAAAAUGUAAGGCUGAAGUCACAGUGGAAAACCAGAAACUAUGGGAAUUACGAAUCAUAAUUUAAGCGCUUAUUAGUCUUUAAAUAAAAUUUGUAUAUAUAUUUUUUGAUAUAAAAUAAAUGAACCUUUUAUUCUGA